rnacentral:lncRNA from 1 species
GCGUGAAAGCGUAACAGACGACAGACAGAGUUACUUUCGCAUUUAUAAUAUUAGUAGGGAUAACGCACAAUGUGUCGCGAUGUCAAUGUAUUUGUAUUAUAUACCUAUAUGCGUGUAUUUAUUCUUGCGUUCUUAAUAGGGCCGCGUUUUCUACUGUUAAUUAGUUGUGCUCUUCGCCCUCGAAUACAAUAAUUUUUUGCAAUAUAAAUAAAUAAAUUUAUAUAAUCAUAAUAAUAAUGGUAAUUAAUAUUUAUCAUGAUUUCCAGAUCAGCUUCAUUGUGGCAAUAAAUAUAAAAUAUAUGGAUUUGAGAAGAUACAGAUUUGACAAGAGAACCAUUUAAUGUAAUGAAAGAAACUACACUAUAUCACAAAAUGCCGCAUUUGGUCUACAACAAGGCUUGAUUAGCUACAUUAUUCAUAUGAUAUAUAUUCUGUAAGUCAGCAGGAGACAC